GUUGCGCACGCGCCAUGUGUGUAUACAUCAGCUUCCUCCCACCCUCCCCAUGUGUGUAGCAGCCCUUUAGUUCCCGAGCGUGCGUUGCUCUCUGCGCGCAUGCGCUGCGGCCCGCGCUCCCUCCCCCUGACGCCUAACCCGUAGCGCAUGCUCCUUGUCUUCCUUCCUCCUCCUCCUCCUCCUCGCUCUCUCCCCCACUUGUCGCUCCCCCCACUUCUCUCUCUCUCUCCUGGCGGCCGGGGCUGGUGUUGGGGCGAACUCGCCCCCCCGCUUCCGGUGUGGUGUCAUGGUGGCCUGUAGGCUCUGAUGGCUGAGGAGGAGGAGGGGAGCUGAGAGCUCGGCGGCUGGGUCGAGCCGAGGAGGAGGAGGAAGAGGAGGAGGAGGAAGGGGGCGUCGAGACCCUCGGGACAUGGCGGCCCACAAGCCGGUGGAGUGGGUGCAGGCCGUGGUGAACCGCUUCGACGAGCAGCUUCCAAUCAGAGUUACCCAACAGAAUACUCACACCAAAGUCAGCACAGAACAUAACAAGGAAUGUCUCAUCAAUAUUUCCAAAUACAAGUUUUCCCUGGUUAUCAGUGGCCUCACUAAUAUCUUAAAAAAUGUUAACAAUAUGAGGAUAUUUUCAGAAACUGCUGAAAAGAACUUGUAUCAUUCUCAGCUGAUAAUUUUGGAUACACUGGAAAAAUGUCUUGCUGGGCAACCAAAGGACUCUAUGAGGCUCGAUGAGACGAUGCUGGUUAAGCAGUUGUUGCCGGAGAUCUGCCACUUCAUCCACACCUACCGCGAAGGGAAUCAGCAUGCAGCGGAGCUUCGCAAUUCUGCCUCUGGAGUUCUCUUUUCUCUCAGCUGCAACAACUUUAAUGCCGUCUUCAGCCGCAUCUCCACCAGAUUGCAGGAAUUGACAGUGUGCUCUGAAGACAAUGCUGAUGUUCACGACAUUGAACUCUUACAGUAUAUCAGCGUGGACUGUGCUAAACUGAAGCGUAUCCUACAAGAGACAGCGUUUAAAUUCAAAGCCCUCAAGAAAGUAGCACAACUGGCAGUGAUCAACAGUCUCGAAAAGGCAUUUUGGAACUGGGUGGAAAACUAUCCGGAUGAGUUUACUAAGCUCUACCAGACACCACAGACUGAUCUAGCGGAUUGUGCAGAGAAGCUGUUUGAUCUGGUGGAUGGAUUUGCUGAAAGCACAAAACGCAAAGCGGCUGUUUGGCCGUUGCAAAUAAUCCUCCUUGUCCUGUGUCCAGAAAUCAUCCAAGACAUUGCCAAGGAUGUGGUAGAGGAAAACAAAAUAAAUAAGAAACUAUUUUUGGACAACCUCAGGAAGGCACUUUCAGGCCACAGUGGAAGCAGGCAGUUGACAGAAAGUGCAGCCAUUGCUUGUGUUAAGCUGUGCAAAGCAUCCACCUACAUCAGCUGGGAAGACAACUCUGUCAUUUUCCUUCUAGUGCAGUCCAUGGUGGUAGAUCUCAAGAACCUGCUCUUCAAUCCUAGCAAGCCUUUCUCAAGAGGCAACCAGAAUGCAGAUAUAGAUCUCAUGAUUGAUUGCUUAGUGUCUUGCUUCCGCAUCAACCCACACAAUAACCAGCACUUCAAGACCUGCCUGGCACAGAAUUCCCCAUCAACUUUUCAUUAUGUGUUGGUAAAUUCACUUCACCAUAUAAUCACAAAUUCUGCACUGGACUGGUGGCCCAAGAUCGAUGCUGUGUACUGUCAUUCAAUGGAACUCCGCAGCAUGUUCAGUGAAACCCUCCAUAAAGCUCUGCAAGGUUCUGGUGUGCACACCCCGAUUCGUAUGACGCCGAGUCUUACAUUUAAAGAGAAAAUGACGAGCCUUAAGUUUAAAGAAAAGCCUACAGAUGUUGAAACCAGAAGUUACAAGGUCUUACUGUUAUCCAUGGUAAAACUGAUCCAUGCUGACCCAAAGCUCUUGCUCUGUAAUCCAAGGAAACAGGGGCCUGAGACGCAGGGCAGCACAGCGGAACUCAUAACUGGGCUUGUCCAGCUGGUGCCACAGUCCAGCAUGCCUGAAAUAGCACAAGAAGCUAUGGAGGCCUUGCUUGUGCUUCAUCAGUUAGACAGCAUUGACUUGUGGAACCCAGACGCACCCAUCGAGACAUUCUGGGAGAUCAGUUCACAAAUGCUGUUUUGUAUAUGCAAGAGGCUAACGAGCAAUCAGAUUCUCAGCAGCACAGAAAUCCUCAAGUGGCUGCGAGAGAUUUUGAUCUGCAGGAACAAAUUUCUCCUGAAAAACAAACAGUCGGAUAGGAGUUCCUGUUCCUUUCCCUUCCUUUAUGGGGUGGGAUGUGAUGUCUCUGGUGGUGGAGCUAAUCAAAUUUCUCUUGACCAUGAAGAGACGAUGCGCUGCAUCCCAGGAGCUACACUCCGAAAAGGCAAGGGGAGCUUCUGCGUGGAAAGCACUGCAGGCUGCAGCGGGACGCCGAUAUGUCGCCAAGCCCAGACCAAGCUGGAGGUGGCCCUGUAUAUGUCUCUUUGGAGUCCCGACACCGAGGCGGUGCUUGUGGCGAUGUCUUGUUUCCGGCACCUCUGUGAGGAAGCAGAUAUCAGAUGCGGCGUAGACGAGGUGUCGGUUCACAACUUCUUGCCCAAUUACAACACCUUCAUGGAGCUUGCGUCUGUGAGCAAUAUGAUGUCAACAGGAAGAGCGGCUCUCCAGAAGAGAGUGAUGGCAUUGCUAAGGCGAAUCGAACAUCCGACGGCAGGUAACACUGAGGCUUGGGAAGAUACACAUUUAAAAUGGGAGGCAGCUACAAAAUUGAUCCUCAACUAUCCAAAGACUAAAAUGGAAGAUGGCCAGGUUGCCGAAAGCCUUCACAAGACCAUAGUCAAGAGGCGAAUGUCCCACGUCAGUGGGGGAGGCUCCAUAGACCUUUCGGACACGGAUUCUCUGCAAGAAUGGAUCAACAUGACCGGCUUCCUAUGUGCGCUUGGUGGGGUGUGCCUGCAGCAUCGCAGCAGCGCAGGGUUUGCCACCUACAGUCCCCCCAUGGGCCCCGUGAGCGAGCGCAAAGGCUCCAUGAUAUCCAUGCUGUCGACAGACGGCAACGUGGAGACCCCUGUGAUCAGGUUCAUGGAUCGCUUAUUGUCUUUGAUGGUCUGCACCCACGAGAAAGUGGGCCUGCAGAUACGGACGAACACUAAGGAUCUCAUGGGCCUGGAGCUGAGCCCUGCACUUUAUCCCAUGCUCUUCAACAAACUGAGGAACACCAUCAGCAAGUUCUUUGACUCUCAAGGGCAGGUCUUGCUGAAUGACACCAACACCCAGUUUGUGGAGCAGACCAUUGCGAUUAUGAAGAACCUGCUUGAUAAUCAUACUGAAGGGAGCUCAGAACACCUAGGGCAAGCCAGCAUUGAGACCAUGAUGCUGAAUCUUGUCAGAUAUGUGCGUGUCCUUGGGAAUCUGGUCCAUGCAAUUCAGAUAAAAACUAAACUCUGUCAGCUUGUGAAGGUAAUGAUGGAGAGGCGUGAUGACCUUUCCUUCUGCCAAGAGAUGAAAUUCAGGAACAAGAUGGUGGAAUAUCUGACAGAUUGGGUUAUGGGAACAUCCAACCAGGCAACAGAUGAGGAUGUGAAAUGUCUGACAAGAGAUUUGGACCAGGCGAGCAUGGAAGCUGUGGUCUCUCUUCUUGCGGGACUUCCACUGCAACCCGAAGAAGGAGAUGGAGUUGAACUGAUGGAAGCUAAAUCCCAGCUGUUCCUUAAGUACUUUACCCUGUUUAUGAACCUCCUCAAUGACUGUAGUGAGGUUGAAGAUGAAAGUGCACAAACGGGCGGCAGAAAACGUGGGAUGUCCCGAAGACUGGCUUCCUUGCGACACUGCACUGUUCUGGCUAUGUCAAAUCUGCUCAAUGCAAAUGUGGAUAGUGGCCUUAUGCACUCAAUAGGAUUGGGAUACCACAAAGAUCUUCAAACAAGAGCUACGUUCAUGGAGGUCCUCACUAAAAUCCUGCAGCAGGGCACAGAGUUUGACACCUUGGCCGAAACUGUAUUGGCGGAUCGGUUUGAGAGACUGGUGGAGUUGGUCACCAUGAUGGGUGACCAAGGAGAGCUGCCCAUUGCUAUGGCUUUGGCAAAUGUCGUGCCUUGUUCACAGUGGGAUGAACUGGCUCGUGUACUGGUCACCCUCUUUGACUCCAGACACUUACUCUACCAGCUGCUUUGGAACAUGUUUUCUAAAGAAGUCGAACUGGCCGACUCAAUGCAGACGCUCUUCAGGGGAAACAGUCUCGCUAGCAAAAUAAUGACGUUCUGUUUUAAGGUUUACGGCGCAACCUAUCUACAGAAGCUUUUGGAGCCUUUGUUAAGGACCGUGAUUACAUCGACUGAAUGGCAGCACGUCAGCUUUGAAGUGGACCCGACAAGGUUGGAAUCCACUGAAAGCCUUAAUGAUAACCAGCGGAGUCUCCUCCAGAUGACGGAGAAAUUCUUCCAUGCCAUCAUCAACUCCUCGGCAGAGUUUCCACCCCAGCUUCGAAGUGUGUGCCAUUGUCUCUAUCAGGCAACUUGCCACUCUCUCCUGAAUAAAGCUACCGUAAAAGAAAAAAAGGAAAACAAAAAAUCAGUUGUCAGCCAGCGGUUCCCCCAGAACAGCAUUGGAGCCGUUGGGAGUGCCAUGUUCUUGAGGUUCAUCAAUCCCGCCAUUGUCUCUCCCUACGAGGCCGGUAUCCUGGAUAAGAAGCCACCGCCAAGGAUUGAAAGGGGCUUGAAGUUAAUGUCAAAGGUACUACAGAGCAUUGCCAACCAUGUCUUGUUCACAAAGGAGGAGCACAUGCGAACUUUUAACGACUUUGUCAAAAGCAACUUUGAUGCAGCACGAAGAUUUUUCCUUGACAUUGCAUCAGAUUGCCCAGCCAGUGACACGGUCAAUCACAGCCUCUCUUUCAUCAGUGAUGGCAAUGUACUUGCUUUACAUCGUCUCCUUUGGAACAACCAGGAGAAGAUUGGCCAAUACCUUUCCAGCAACAGGGACCACAAAGCAGUUGGAAGACGGCCCUUCGACAAGAUGGCGACUCUGCUUGCGUACCUUGGUCCUCCCGAGCACAAGCCUGUGGCAGACACCCAGUGGUCCAGUAUAAAUCUCACCAGUUCCAAGUUUGAAGAGUUUAUGACUAGGCACCAGGUACAUGAAAAAGAGGAGUUCAAGGCCCUGAAAACACUAAAUAUUUUCUACCAAGCUGGGACAUCAAAAGCUGGCAAUCCUGUUUUCUAUUAUAUCGCUCGCCGGUUCAAGACCGGCCAGAUCAAUGGUGAUCUGCUGAUAUACCAUGUCUUGUUAACUCUGAAGCCAUACUACGCUAAGCCAUAUGAGAUUGUGGUGGACCUCACUCACGCUGGCCCCAGCAAUCGUUUCAAAACAGACUUCCUGUCGAAGUGGUUUGUCGUUUUCCCAGGAUUAGCUUACGAAAACGUCUCUGCAGUUUUCAUUUAUAACUGCAACUCUUGGGUGAGGGAGUACACUAAAUAUCACGAGCGGCUUCUGACGGGCCUCAAAGGUAGCAAGAGACUCAUCUUCAUUGACUCACCAGGGAAACUGGCAGAACACAUAGAGCAUGAGCAGCAGAAGCUCCCGGCAGCCACUUUGGCCUUGGAAGAAGACCUGAAGGUUUUCCACAAUGCGCUCAAGCUGGCCCACAAGGACACCAAAGUUUCUAUUAAAGUUGGUUCUACAGCUGUUCAGGUAACUUCAGCUGAGCGCACAAGGGUCCUGGGACAGACAGUGUUUUUGAAUGACAUUUACUAUGCCUCUGAAAUAGAAGAAAUCUGCCUUGUAGAUGAAAACCAGUUCACCUUAACCAUCGCCAACCAAGGCACACCUCUCACAUUCAUGCACCAGGAGUGUGAUGCCAUCGUCCAGUCCAUCAUUCACAUACGGACGCGGUGGGAGCUAUCGCAGCCUGACUCCAUACCGCAGCACACAAAAAUCCGCCCAAAGGAUGUGCCUGGAACGCUAUUGAACAUCGCGUUGCUCAAUCUAGGGAGCUCAGACCCAAGCCUACGGUCUGCGGCCUAUAAUCUUCUCUGUGCCUUAACCUGUACCUUUAAUUUAAAGAUUGAAGGCCAGUUACUGGAAACUUCAGGUCUGUGUAUCCCUGCCAACAACACCCUUUUUAUUGUCUCUAUUAGUAAAACUCUGGCAGCUAAUGAGCCCCACCUCACCUUAGAGUUUUUGGAAGAAUGCAUUUCCGGAUUUAGCAAAUCUAGUAUUGAAUUGAAACAUCUCUGUCUGGAAUAUAUGACCCCCUGGCUGUUGAAUCUGGUCCGCUUCUGCAAGCAUAAUGACGAUGCGAAACGCCAGCGAGUCACUGCUAUUCUGGAUAAGCUUAUCACAAUGACAAUAAAUGAGAAACAGAUGUACCCUUCCAUUCAAGCCAAGAUAUGGGGGAGCUUGGGCCAGAUAACAGACCUGCUUGAUGUGGUUUUAGAUAGUUUUAUCAAAACCAGCGCCACAGGGGGGUUGGGAUCUAUCAAAGCAGAGGUUAUGGCAGACACUGCUGUCGCUCUGGCUUCUGGGAAUGUGAAAUUGGUUUCAAGUAAAGUUAUUGGAAGGAUGUGCAAAAUAAUCGACAAGACCUGUCUGUCUCCAACUCCUACAUUAGAGCAGCACCUGAUGUGGGAUGACAUUGCCAUUCUAGCCCGUUACAUGCUGAUGCUGUCCUUUAACAAUUCGCUUGAUGUGGCUGCGCACCUCCCUUACCUCUUCCAUGUAGUUACUCUGUUGGUGGCCACUGGUCCUCUUUCCCUUAGAGCUUCCACCCAUGGGCUGGUCAUCAACAUCAUUCAUUCUCUGUGCACUUGUUCACAACUCCACUUUAGUGAGGAGACCAAACAAGUGUUGAGACUCAGCUUAACAGAGUUCUCACUCCCCAAGUUCUACUUGCUGUUUGGAAUAAGCAAAGUGAAGUCGGCGGCUGUCAUUGCAUUUCGAUCCAGUUAUCGGGACCGGUCAUUCUCUCCUGGCUCCUACGAGAGGGAGACGUUCGCCCUGACAUCUCUGGAAACGGUGACAGAAGCUCUGCUGGAGAUUAUGGAGGCAUGUAUGAGAGAUAUUCCGACUUGCAAGUGGCUUGACCAGUGGACGGAACUAGCUCAGAAGUUUGCAUUCCAAUAUAAUCCAUCCCUCCAACCAAGAGCCCUUGUUGUCUUUGGUUGCAUUAGCAAGCGGGUGUCACAUGGGCAGAUCAAGCAAAUCAUCCGGAUUCUUAGCAAGGGUCUCGAGAGCUGCUUGAAAGGCCCAGAUAACUACAAUAGCCAAGUUCUAAUAGAAGCCACAGUCAUAGCACUGACCAAGCUGCAGCCACUUCUCAAUAAGGACUCACCUAUGCACAAGGCCCUUUUCUGGGUGGCCAUGGCUGUUCUGCAGCUGGACGAAGUCAAUCUGUAUUCAGCAGGCACAGCUCUCCUUGAACAAAACCUCCAUACCCUGGACAACCUUCGAGUGUUCAAUGACAAAAGCCCCGAAGAAGUCUUCAUGGAGAUCAGGCGGCCUCUGGAAUGGCACUGCAAGCAGAUGGACCACUUUGUGGGACUCAAUUUCAACUCUAACUUCAACUUUGCGCUUGUGGGACAUCUGCUAAAAGGCUACCGGCAUCCCUCUCCAAGCAUUGUAGCAAGGACAGUAAGGAUUCUUCACACGCUCCUCGCUCUGGUUAACAAACAUAGGAACUGUGACAAGUUUGAGGUGAAUACCCAGAGUGUGGCUUACCUUGCAGCUUUACUCACUGUAUCUGAGGAGGUUCGAAGUCGGUGCAGCCUAAAGCACAGGAAGUCUCUCCUGCUGACAGAUGUUUCGAUGGAAAAUGUUCCCAUGGAGACAUAUCCAAUUCAUCCCAGCGAAGUCAGCUGUAGGACGCUAAGGGAAAACCAGCCAUGGUCUUCUCCCAAGGGCUCAGACAGACAUCUUGCUGCCAGUUACCCAACUGUGGGGCAGAUCAGCCCACGCACGAGGAAGUCCAUGAGUCUGGAUAUGGGGCAGCCUUCUCAAGCCAACACUAAAAAGCUACUAGGUACAAGAAAGAGUUUUGACCAUUUGAUAUCAGACACAAAAGCGCCUAAAAGGCAAGAAAUGGAAUCAGGGAUCACCACUCCUCCCAAAAUGAGAAGGGUAGCCGAAAAUUAUGAAAUGGAAACACAAAGGAUAUCGCCCCAACAGCAUCCACACCUCCGGAAAGUAUCGGUCUCCGAGUCCAAUGUCCUUCUGGAUGAAGAAGUCCUCACAGAUCCCAAAAUCCAAGCCCUGUUGCUGACUGUCCUUGCAACACUAGUAAAAUACACUGCAGAUGAGUUUGACCAGCGAAUCCUGUAUGAAUAUUUAGCAGAAGCCAGUGUGGUUUUCCCAAAGGUCUUUCCUGUUGUGCACAAUUUAUUGGACUUCAAGAUAAAUACCCUGUUGUCACAGUGUCAGGAUCCAAAUUUAUUGAACCCAAUUCAUGGCAUUGUUCAGAGUGUGGUUUACCAUGAAGAAUCUCCGCCCCAGUAUCAGACAUCUUAUCUGCAAAGUUUUGGAUUUAACGGCUUGUGGAGGUUUGCAGGACCAUUUUCCAAGCAAACGCAAAUCCCAGACUAUGCUGAACUCAUAGUAAAGUUCCUCGAUGCCUUGAUCGACACCUACUUACCCGGGAUUGAUGAGGAAACCAACGAGGAAUCCCUGCUGACGCCAACUUCUCCUUAUCCUCCAGCAGUGCAGAGUCAGCUUAGUAUUACUGCAAACCUGAACCUCUCUAAUUCCAUGACCUCACUCGCAACUUCCCAGCAUUCCCCAGGGAUCGAUAAGGAGAACGUGGAGCUCUCCCCGACCACAGUGCACUCCAACAGUGGGAGGACGCGCCACGGCUCCGCCAGCCAGGUGCAGAAGCAGCGCAGCACGGGCAGCUUCAAGCGCCACAGCAUUAAAAAGAUUGUCUGAAGCUUCCCGCCUUCCUUUUCCUCCGUGUUUUUCACGUGGCGUAAUGGAAAAAGAAAUGGCAUUCGACAGUGACCAGAGGAGAGCAUGAAAUUCCCAUGGGUGAGGUGCAGGUGGCUAAGAUGAGUGAAGUGCCAGAUGAUUGGAAGAAGGCUAAUGUUGGCCCUAUCUUCAAAAAGGAGGAACCUGGGAACUACAGACCAGUCAGCCUGACAUCGAUCCCUGGGAAAAUUUUGGAGUGGUCAGUCUGUAAGCACCUUGAAAACAAUGCAGUGAUUACUGGAAGCCAACAUGAAUGAAUGAAUAUAAUUUAUUACGGUCGGGGACCAGCGUACAAAUACAGACGAUCAAAACAUCAUAAAAAUAUUAGUGUAGUACAAACAAUUUCAUGCUAAAACAAGCUCUAUUUAAAAGCCGAUUCUCAUGUCUGUGUGAGCUGCUGAGUUAACAGUACUCUUUGGCAUGUAAUGGCUGCAGCACAAAAACUCGCAACCUUAAUUGAGACUUGGGGCAUUUGAUCGGAUAAAAGGUAAUUAACAUAAAAUGCAUCGUCCCUGCCCGGGAUUGUUUGUAAAAUCGGGGUAAUAAGUGCGAGUCGUAGGUCCCGAUAAAAUACACAAUACAGUAAAACAUGGCCCACGGACUCUACUACACCCACAUCACAGGGGCAUACAUGCUCAGCAAAUGGAAUUUUUGAUAUCUGCCGUCUAAAAGUGCCGAUGGUAAAAUGUUAAACUUAGCCAGCGUAAAUGCUUUUGUCAGUCUAGGGGUAGGGAGGGAAGCCAAAUAGUGUGCGGGUGCAAAAGCCCCUGUGUUAAGUCUAGAACCUGGAUAGGAAGCAGCUAGGGAGAAGUGAUUUUGAAGUUCAGUGUCUAGAAUUCACUGGAGGAUGGCCGUCUUCGCUUUGGUAAGGCCUAGCGGAAGAAUAGCAGUGGGGAAGAAUCCUAAACUUAAAAGUUUCGUGCUUAGGGUUUUCUUCCAUUUUGACUGAAAAAUGUCAGUGUGAGAGGGGCCAGUCCCACUGGUAUAAACAUCAUUUUUAACCAAUACUUAAUAUUGAGCAUCCAUAUGCGGGCCUCUAUCGAGGGGUGCCCUGCUUCGAGACGUAGGGUGGCAUUGGGGACACAGGAUGGAAAGCCCAGUAUAGUCCUCAGGAAUUUAGCUUGGACAGUUUCAAAGGGGGAAUAUUUGCCAUAAACACUUAUCUGAGAGCCAUAUAACAAUUGGGUGAUCACUUUGGCAACAAAUACCUGUAUGGCAGAUGGAACAUAUUGCCCUCCUUUAGUAUAGAAAAAUGAAAGGAGAGCCUUCGUGCUCCUCUGAGCAUUGGCAAUGGCAUUUUUUCGUUUGUAGAUGCCAUGUUCCAGAUGAAUGUAGAGUUACCCCUAAAUACCUGUAAGAUGUUACUUGUUCAAUUGGGAGUCUGUUUAACUGCCAUCGGUACUUCACCCUCUUCCAGGUGAACACCACAACCUUUGAUUUAUCGUGGUUGAUUACCAAUAGUUCUUUAUUACAAUAGUUGGCAAGCGCCCUCAGCAAGCGUCGCAGGCCAAUACUUGAAAGGGAUAGAAGUACUACAUCAUCCGCAUAGAGAAGAGUAGACAAGAGACCUGUUUGACAGAGUAGGUUGAUGGGAGGGAACCAGCACCAGACUUUUUACCAGGGAGUUAAUAUAAAAGUUGAACAAUGUAGGGGCUAAAAUACAUCCCUGUUUAACUCCCUUAAAAGUAGGAAUAGGCCUAGACAGGUAGCCGGUGUUGUUGCAUCUUAUACGUAAUUGGGUGUUUAAACACUGUAUAAGUGCUAACAAACACCUGUCAAUGUUGGUGGCCUCGAAUUUUUCCCAAAGCCUGUCCCUUGGUAUGAGGUCAAAGGCUGACUUGAAAUCAAUAAAGACUGCAUAAAGCCCCCCCCCCUCCAGUUUAGUUGUGUAUUUUUCCCUAGAUGUCGUCGAACAAGUCCGUGAUCCAUGGUAGAGUGUUCCGCUCUGAAUCCGACUUGUUCCUCUGCCAAAAUGUUUUUCUGCACCAGCCAGUUUUGUAGUUUUUCGUGUAGGUGGCUGGUAUAUAACUUGCUGAUGUAUUUAUCAAGAACAAAUCCUGCCAGACUCAUCUUACCUCAUUUUUUGAUUGGGUAACCUCCCUGAUAGACUGUGGGAAUGCUGUAAACAUAAUCUCCACUUCAGCAAUGUUUUUGACAAAGUGCCCCAUGAUAUGCUGAUUAGCAAGCUAGCUAAAUAUGGGCUGAAUGAAACAAUUAUCAGGUGUAUCCAAAGCUGACUACAGAAUCAUAGUCAAACAGUACUUAUUAAUGGUUCCUUCUAAAACUGGGGGAAAGUAAUUAGUGGGGUACCGCAGGGCUCGGUCCGGGGCCUACUGUUCAACAUUUUUAUUAAUGAUUUGGAUGAGGAGGUUCAGGGAAUUCUUAUGAAAUUUGCAAAUGAUGCAAAUAGGAGGGAUAGCUAAUACGCUGGAAGACAGAAACAAAAUUCAAGGCGAUUUUGAUAGGCUAGAGCAUUGGCCUGAAAACAACAGAAUGAAAUUUAACAGUUGAUAACAGUUGUUGAUAUCUAACUGAAUAUGAGCCAAUAGUGCAAUGUAGCUGCAACAAAGGCAAAUGCUAUUUUAGGGUGCAUUAACAGAAGUACAGUUUCCAAAUCACGUGAAGUCCCCUCUAUUCGACACUGGUUAGUUGAGAUAUUGCACUUUAAGAAGGAUGCAGACAAACUGGAACAGGUUCAGAAGAGGGCAACAAGAAUUAUCAGGGGACUGGAAACAAAGCCCUAUGAGGAGAGACUGAAAGAACUGGGCAUGUUUAGCCUUGAGAAGAGAAGACUGAGGGGAGAUAUGAUAGCACUCUUCACGUACUUGAAAGGUUGUCAUACAGAGAAGGGCCAGGAUCUCUUCUCGAUCGUCCCAGAGUGCAGGACACGGAAUAAUGGGCUCAAGUUACAGGAAGCCAGAUUUCGGCUGAACAUCAGGAAAACCUUCCUAACUGUUAGAGUGGUAGGACAAUGGAACCAAUGACCUAGUGUCUUAACACUAGAGGCAUUCAAGAGGCAGCUGAACAGCCACCUGUCGGGGAUGCUUUAAGUUGGAUUCCUGCAUUGAGUAAAGGGUUGGCCUUGAUGGCCUUAUUGGCCCCUUCCAGCUCUACUAUUCUAUUACUAAACCAGGAGAGCUUUGAGGAAGCAGGUGGUUACCCUAUCAACACUGUUUUCGUAGAUUGUCCUUAUUGUCCACCCCAGUGAAGCCUCACCAGCACUGUAACCUGUUUCAACUCUUACUGACCUAUUGUAGCAUUGGUCUGUUUUUACUGUCGUCUUCCUUUGGCUGCCCUACGAGACAGCAGAGCUUCGCAUUCCAAACUGCCUCUCACUUCUCCCUCGGUGCUGUAGACAGCCUAUACCCAGCCUUUGGCCACCAAGCCUUCCUGUCAGGUCUUUCUCCUUCUUCCUCAGUCCUCUUCCUCGGCUGUCCUCGUCUUCUGGCUGUCCAAACCAAGCACCAACCAACAUGGGCUGACCCUGAAUGACAAGCACUCAGCUGUGCGUUCUCUUCUUCUGCCCUCCCCAGCCUAACCCCAGCCAAUCACACUAAGAACUCUAAACCUGCAACUACCCACCACAUUGUGCAUACCUUUUUUUCUUCUUUUGCUUGCUGGGAAUUCUAUCUCCAACUCCUCCUCAGCUGUCAGUUAAGGUAUCCCAAUGACAGGUAAGCCAACCUUCACCUGACCAGACAGAAGACUUUCCCCAUCAAACACAUUAUAAUGAACAUUACAAUACAAAUGAUAGAACACACUACCCAUUAAAAGACACUUCUAUAAACAUUUUCCAUAGUUUUGCAUCUACACCCAU